CAGUAGCCGCGGUAAUACGAAGGGUGCAAGCGUUACUCGGAAUUACUGGGCGUAAAGCGUACGCAGGCGGUCUGUCAAGUCAGAUGUGGAAUCCCCGGGCUUAACCUGGGAACUGCAUUUGAAACUGGCAGGCUAGAGUCUUGUAGAGGGGGGUAGAAUUCCAGGUGUAGCGGUGAAAUGCGUAGAGAUCUGGAGGAAUACCGGUGGCGAAGGCGGCCCCCUGGACAAAGACUGACGCUCAGGUGCGAAAGCGUGGGGAGCAAACAGGAUUAGAUACCCCAGUAGUCCCUGUCUCUUAUAC
rnacentral:rRNA from 1 species